GAUGAAGAACGUAGCGAAAUGCGAUAAGUAAUGUGAAUUGCAGAAUUCCGUGAAUCAUCGAAUCUUUGAACGCACAUUGCGCCCCCUGGCAUUCCGGGGGGCAUGCCUGUCCGAGCGUCAUUUCUGCCCUCCAGCCCGGCUGGGUUUUGGGCGCUGUCCCCCCGGGGACACGCCCCAAAGGCAGUGGCGGCGCCGCGUCGGGUCCUCGAGCGUAUGGGGCUUUGUCACCCGCUCGGGACGGACUCGUCGGCGCUGGUCUUCCUCCAGGCGACCCUUCGGGGCUCGUCUUCCUUCGGUUGACCUCGGAUCAGGUAGGGUUACCCGCUGAACUUAAGCAUAUCAAUAAGCGGAGGA
rnacentral:misc_RNA from 1 species